AGCAGCCGCGGUAAUUCCAGCUCCAAUAGCGUAUAUUAAAGUUGUUGCAGUUAAAAAGCUCGUAGUUGAACUUCAGGCCUGUCCAGACGGUCCGCCUUAAUUGGUGUGUACUGUCCUUGGGUGGGUCCUACCUUCUGGCGAAGCGGCAUGGCCUUAAUUGGUCGUGUCGGGGAACCAGGACUUUUACUGUGAAAAAUUAGAGUGUUCAAAGCAGGCAAAUAUGCUCGAAUACAUUAGCAUGGAAUAAUGGAAUAGGACGAUGGUUCUAUUUUGUUGGUUCUAGGACCGUUGUAAUGAUUAAUAGGGAUAGUUGGGGGCAUUAGUAUUCAAUUGUCAGAGGUGAAAUUCUUGGAUUUAUUGAAGACUAACUACUGCGAAAGCAUUUGCCAAGGAUGUUUUCAUUAAUCAAGAACGAAAGUUAGGGGAUCGAAGACGAUC
rnacentral:rRNA from 1 species